ACAAAACCCUGGUGCGCCUUUAAAGCCUCGCUUUCUCCCCCGGAGAGAGCGGGAACGACAACCAAAGAAAAUAAUAAACCGACUUCCAAAGCCGUCCGAUCUCCCCGAUGCUCCAUCCCUCCACUUCUUUUCCCCUUCCCCUCCUUCCGGCUUCCCCUCUCUCCUGUCUCCCGAUGGCCACCGAGGGUUUCCUCCUCGCCUCCCAGGAACUCGGGCCCCUCCGGCGGCGCCGCCGCCCCUCGGCGCCUCCACUCCCGCCUUCCGUCCUAGAUCCAUGACCCGGCGUCCGGAUCUCCGCCAUCCCUUCGUAUACGGUGUACAUAUACGGCAGACAGGGUGAAGCCAGGCAGCAGUCUUUAUCUCGGCCGCUAACAGAUAUACCUUUUUGGGAACCAUUGCAUCAUGGAGAAUCUUUUGGCUGGAGCUACGCUUUGAAACCAGUUGUUUUAGAUCUUUGUUUGGGUGUAAAGUUAUCUGAAAUGUUUUGGCAUCAUCUUCUGCUACCUCGUUAACACAUGAAAGUGUGACUGUCAUUUUAGAUCAUCUGCCUACCAUAUCUCAGAAAUUAUUGCCAGCUUCAUUGUCCGUUUGCAUAUUCGGUAAUUUUUAUUCCUGGGUACUUGUUUGGGAAUCUAAAUGAGCUAGACCAUAAACCAUCCAUGUGCUUA